rnacentral:rRNA from 1 species
CUACAGCCAUACCACCCUGAACACGCCCAAUCUCGUCUGAUCUCGGAAGCUAAGCACGGUGGGGCCUGGUUAGUACUUGGAUGGGAGAAGUUUGCCAGGUGAAUAGC